UACGUAGGGUGCGAGCGUUGUCCGGAUUUACUGGGCGUAAAGCGCUUGUAGGCGGCCCACCAAGUUUGGGGUGACAGUUGCCGACUUAAUCGGCAAAGUGCCUCAAAGACUGGCGGACUUGAGGGCCACAGAGGGACAUGGAACUCCAGGUGUAGUGGUGAAAUGCGUAGAUAUCUGGAAGAACACCAAAGGCGAAGGCGGCGACCUGGUCCAUUACUGACGCUGAGGCGCGAAAGCGUGGGGAGCAAACAGG
rnacentral:rRNA from 1 species